GCGCCCGUCAUUGGGGAGUAGCCGAUUUCCACCGUUCCCGGAAAUGUACGUGUCAACAUACUCGUUGAAAGACGUGGCGCGUACGGGUCGCAGUACUGCGAUCAGGCGAGACCAUAGGCGCAUCAACCACUGUUUACUGGGGGUGGUGAUGUGUUUAAUGGUUCCCGGUCAGGACGUUAU
rnacentral:sRNA from 2 species